rnacentral:rRNA from 1 species
AUUGAACGCUGGCGGCAGGCCUAACACAUGCAAGUCGAACGAGUGGCGGACGGGUGAGUAAUGUCUGGGAAACUGCCUGAUGGAGGGGGAUAACUACUGGAAACGGUAGCUAAUACCGCAUACCAUCGGAUGUGCCCAGAUGGGAUUAGCUAGUUGGUGGGGUAACGGCUCACCAAGGCGACGAUCCCUAGCUGUGUUGUGAGGAUGACCAGCCACCCGGGAACUGAGACAAGGCCCAGCCUCCUCCGGGAGGUAUCAGUGGGGAAUAUUGCACAAUUGGCGAAAGCCUGAUGCAGCCAUGCCGCGUGUAUGACGAAGGCCUUCGGGUUGUAAAGUACUUGCAGCGGGGAGGCGUUACCCGCAGAAGAAGCACCGGCUAAAUCCGUGCCAGCCGCCGCGGUAAUUC